AUGAUGAUGAUGAUGAUGAAA
rnacentral:miRNA from 1 species